UGCAUCGAUGAAGAACGCAGCGAAAUGCGAUACGUAGUGUGAAUUGCAGAAUUCCGCGAAUCAUCGAGUCUUUGAACGCAAGUUGCGCCCGAGGCUUGUCCGAGGGCAUUUCCGCUAGAGCGUCACCGCGCCACCACCGAUCCACACUCCCGCCGCGAGGCGGGAGUUUGCCAAGGGUCGAGUGGAAGUGGCCGUCCCGGCGCGAGAAGGCUAAGGGUCGGCUGAAAUGGAUGGAAUUGGGCCGCCGUGGUGACACAGUCCGCGAUCGGGUGAUUUUGUCGCGAGCCUCCCGCCUGCGGGAGGUUCGCCGUGAAUUUUUCUAAGUGUGCUUGGCUGCGUCCCCCAGUUGGCUUUGGUUACCUCGAGCAGGUCGAGCGCGCCCCCGCGGCGCGCGUCACGCAUCAGACCUCUAAUCGGAAAAG
rnacentral:rRNA from 1 species